rnacentral:rRNA from 1 species
GACGAACGCUGGCGGCGUGCUUAACACAUGCAAGUCGAACGGAAAGGCCCUGCUUUUGUGGGGUGCUCGAGUGGCGAACGGGUGAGUAACACGUGAGUAACCUGCCCUUGACUUUGGGAUAACUUCAGGAAACUGGGGCUAAUACCGGAUAGGAGCUCCUGCUGCAUGGUGGGGGUUGGAAAGUUUCGGCGGUUGGGGAUGGACUCGCGGCUUAUCAGCUUGUUGGUGGGGUAGUGGCUUACCAAGGCUUUGACGGGUAGCCGGCCUGAGCGGGUGACCGGCCACGUUGGGACUGAGAUACGGCCCAGACUCCUACGGGAGGCAGCAGUGGAGAAUAUUGCACAGUGGGCGGAAGCCUGAUGCAGCAACGCCGCGUGCGGGAUGACGGCCUUCGGGUUGGAAACCGCUUUCGCCUGUGACGAAGCGUGAGUGACGGUAAUGGGUAAAGAAGCACCGGCUAACUACGUG